GCUGCGUGUUUGGUUUGCAUAACGACAGCUGGUUCUUUGAUCUGCACGAAUAGAAAGAGUGAGAGUGAGAGGGAGAGGACGAAAGACUAAGAGAACGGGUUUCGUUCUUUCGGUUUUGGGUUGCUGGCUCCAGCGAGACAGAGAGCGAAGAGAAGAAGAGGGAGACGCGCAGUUCUACUAAAUCAAAGCUGCAAUAAAAAAGAUGGGGAUGGAAGCAUCAAAAGGAUCUCUUGCCGCUGCAUCUCACCGGGAACAUGCAAGUAUAUCAAUAGAUUAAUAAUGUCGAUAUGGUUGGGCUCGAUAUGGUUUGGUUAAUUAAUAAUGUCGGCCUUGCUGUUCCAUGGAUUGGCUUUUGCUGUGGGUUCUAUCGUUAGGCUUUUGCUGUGGGUUCUAAAGAGGCAAUGGUUUUGAUCUCAGCGUUACCAUCUACACUCAUAUAACAAAUUCAAAAUAUGGUGGAAAGCUCUACACUGAUAUCACCGAGGUAUCUACAUUUGCAGUUAUUCUGCUGAUUAAAAACUAGAUGCAUGCAAUGGUAAGGUGCGGAAGAGGAAGAAGAAGGCGACAUAUUUGGUUGCUGAAGGGAGAAGCUUAAGAUAGUAUAUGAGAUAAUGAGUUUUUCUCUUCCUUUCUCUCAUAGUUUCUUACGUUUUUUUUUUUUUUUGGAUUUAAGUUUCUUACGUUUUCUCUUUAACAGGAUAAAUCAGUCUUCAUGCUGAUGUGGUUGUAAUGUCUGAAAAGGCAGACUGGUGGCCUAUAUUAUCCGGUCUUGACAGGUAGAAGAGAUAGUACCCAGUCCUACUUUGAUGUGGCAUUGGCGGAGAUUCCAAAACCUGGUGACAGUAUCACUCAGAUAUUGCAUCUGUUCUCAAAUGGAGGUUUUAGUGAGAGAGAAACAGUUGCUCUUCUAGGAGUGCACAACAUUGUAAAGAUAGGAUGUGAGUUCAUAUAGUCACGCGUAAACCACUUCAUUGGGACAGGGCAACCAAAUCCAGCUUUACCUUCUGAUCUCCUCAAUACAAUGAAACUAAAUGUGAAGACAAUGCUACCAAGACCACCAGUGAUACUGAUGCAUCUCAGUAUGAAUAUCAGAUCACAAAUUACUGAUACAUAUUUGAAGAACUGAAGCUUUGCACUCACUUGCUGCUGAACUAUGGUUUGGAUUUGGGUUGGUUUCAACUCUGAGUGGUAGACCAAAAAGGUUGUUUGGUUGCUGAAAAGCUCUAAGAGGACUGGAUCUGCAGACUGGCUUUUUUCACGUUGAGGCAAAUUAAAGCUGCCCCUAAUAACUUUGAUCCUGUAAACAAAAUUGGUGAGCAGUUUUGGUUGUGUCGAUAAGGGCAUAUCAUUGGAUGGCACUACAAUUGCAGUUAGGCAACUCUCUUCAAAAUCAAAGCGACGAAAUCGUGAGUUUGUGAAUGAAGUAGCUUGAUAUCUGGUUUACAACAUCCAAAUAUGCAUCGUCACAUAAACAUAUUACAGUUAAAGUGGCUCAUAGCCACAUAAAAUGGCUAGCACUAGCAGCUGGGAUCAGAUUUAUUUGUUGGGACUGACUUUGACAAAGUUCUUUUGCAGAUACAGAGAUAUACCAACCUGAUAAACCAUAAUCUCCAGUAAUAAAGCGUUAUUAUUGUUACAGGGUGAGCCCAGCUUAAAACUUAGUUUAGUUGCAGUCAUUGUUUGGUAUUGGUCUUUCUGGAAGACGGUGAGCCCAGCUAAAAGCUUGAGGUGAUUUUGUAUCAACUUCAAAAUACAAGUGCACAUGAGAGUGUCUUCCAAAAUCACAUCAAGUGCAUGCCAAGCAAGACUGAAAACUGAAGGACCAUCUUUAGAACACUGUCAGUAGAAGAUCAAUGAAGAUGUGCAUAUAUUUUUGCUUCCUACAUGACAACAUUUUUUUGAUAAGACACUGAUUUAUAUGAAGCUGUGAAGACCUUUUUUGCUCCCUACAUAGCGAUCUUUUGUGAUGAAGUGAAAUCCACCAUUAUUUCGAUAAUAUAAUGUUUUGUGGAAAGACUGCAUACAAAAUGCACAUCCUUGAACUAGAUUCAUACAAUGUAAAUUAAGUUCUAAAACAAUUUGUUUAACACAUAUUUUUCGUUUCAUGUAAACACAUCUUAGUUA